GUGCUUGCUUCAAGCAGCACAUAUACUAAAACUGGAACAAUACAGAGAAGAUUAGCAUGGCCCUUGUGCAAGGAUGACAUGUAAAU
rnacentral:snRNA from 1 species